rnacentral:lncRNA from 1 species
GGCCCCAGGGGUGAUCGCCAGCCCCGGGGCCCCUGCCUCCUGGCCCGGGCCCAGCUCCAGCACCACCGCCCUCCUGGGGGGGAAGCGAGCUCUUGGGCAGAGCCUCUCUGGGUCAGGGUGGGUGUCUGUCUAGGUCCGUGUCUUGGAUCCUCUCCGUGUCGCCGUUUCUCUGUUUCUCCGUGUCUCUGUCUCUGUCUCUGUCUCUGGGUCUCUGGGCUGGCGCCAGCAGGAGCUGUCCAGGGUCCCCGCGAGGGGCGGGUUGGGGGCGGGGUGCCGGUCUCCUGGGCGGCGCUGGCGGGGGAAGGGUGGCCGCCCCGCCUCCCCGCGCCCUCAGGGGCAGCGCGGCGGGCUUCCGCUGACGCCCUCUGGUCGCGCCGGUGGCUCCGCCUGGGUUUGGGCAAGUCGGGGCCCGGCCGGCGCCGCAGAGGUCAGGGCUCCCGCUGGGAGGCCCCUCGGGCCGGAGGGGACUCAGAGGAGCACGGGCCCGGCGGCCCGACGCCCCGACGCCUCGGGCCAAGUGCCCCGCGCCCCCCACCUCCCAGCAGCCGCAUCUCCUGCGACCCAUCGCCGGAUCCGAGCGGCCAGGGCGGCCUGGAGUGUUCCCGGGCCGCGAGGGGAGAGCGCCCAGCCAGGCGCCCCGCCCCCAUCCCCGCCCCCACCACCCCUCGUUUCCCACCGCCGCCCGCCCCGCCCCGCCUCCUCGCACCCCGGGCUGCUCCAGGCCUCCGCGCCCUGGGAGGGCAGCAGGGCGGGGCAGCGCAGGGUUUGGCUGGCCCGCUGGCCGCGCCCGAGGCGGCCGCGGCGGGAGGCAGCAGCGGGAGGAAGGCGGCAGGCCGAGCGCGGGCGCAGGGGGCGCCGGCGGCGGCGGGUGCGCGUCACAGAGGCCUGGGCGCGCGCGCGAGCCGCGGGCCGGGCGACGCGGCGCGGCUUCUUAGGGGCGCCGGCGGCAGGCGCCAGCGUCUACGGCCAUACCACCCUGAACGCGCCCGAUCUCGUCUGAUCUCGGAAGCUAAGCAGGGUCGGGCCUGGUUAGUACUUGGAUGGGAGACCGCCUGGGAAUACCGGGUGCUGUAG